UGGGGGGGUGUGCCUUAUACUUGCAAGUCGAGCGGACAGAUGGGAGCUUGCUCCCUGAUGUUAGCGGCGGACGGGUGAGUAACACGUGGGUAACCUGCCUGUAAGACUGGGAUAACUCCGGGAAACCGGGCUAAUACCGGAUGGUUGUUUGAACCGCAUGGUUCAAACAUAAAAGGUGGCUUCGGCUACCACUUACAGAUGGACCCGCGGCGCAUUAGCUAGUUGGUGAGGUAACGGCUCACCAAGGCAACGAUCGUAGCCGACCUGAGAGGGUGAUCGGCCACACUGGGACUGAGACACGGCCCAGACUCCUACGGGAGGCAGCAGUAGGGAAUCUUCCGCAAUGGACGAAAGUCUGACGGAGCAACGCCGCGUGAGUGAGAAGGUUUUCGGAUCGUAAAGCUCUGUUGUUAGGGAAGAACAAGUACCGUUCGAAUAGGGCGGUACCUUGACGGUACCUAACCAGAAAGCCACGGCUAACUACGUGCCAGCAGCCGCGGUAAUACGUGGUGGCAAGCGUUGUCCGGAAUUAUUGGGCGUAAAGGGCUCGCAGGCGGUUUCUUAAGUCUGAUGUGAAAGCCCCCGGCUCAACCGGGGAGGGUCAUUGGAAACUGGGGAACUUGAGUGCAGAAGAGAGAGUGGAAUUCCACGUGUAGCGGUGAAAUGCGUAGAGAUGUGGAGGAACACCAGUGGCGAAGGCGACUCUCUGGUCUGUAACUGACGCUGAGGAGCGAAAGCGUGGGGGAGCGAACAGGAUUAGAUCCCUGGUAGUCCACGCCGUAACGAUGAGUGCUAAGUGUUAGGGGGUUUCCGCCCCCUUAGUGCUGCAGCUAACGCAUUAAGCACUCCGCCCUGGGGGAGUACGGUCGCAAGACUGAAACUCAAGGAAUUGACGGGGGGCCCGCCACAGCGUGGAGCAUGUGGUUUAUUCGAAGCAACGGCGAAAGAACCCUUACG
rnacentral:rRNA from 1 species